GGGAUGCCAUUUGCUCUUUAUUAUUAUUCAUUAUCUUCUGGUACAGAAAGAGACAAAAUUUAACAGCUAAACUCAACAAUUGUAAACAGGGAGCAGAGAGCAAGAGAUCAGAAGCAGGCUCGUUGGCUGGCCCCAGGCUCCAGUGAAACCCUGACAUAUUACUGAAAGGACAGAUUUCCAGCUGACAUGGGUCAACACAUGAAGACGGGCACUGCAGAAAGUGGUGCCAAAAUGAGUCCACUUCACGGUGAUCAUUUCUAUAAGCUCAGUUGCACACAGCAGGGUUUGCACUGUCACAAAUACACAGUCACAGUGAGCUAGCGGGCGGGUGUGUUCAGGCCUGGGGAAGUGGCAUCUGAGCAAGGAGGAGACUGGCUGGGAGGCAGAAGCACAGCUGGGGGUGGGACCCGCUCAGACAACAGCACAGUGGAACAACUGUUGUGGCCUUGAGCCAGGGUGGGUGUGCUGUUCCCAUGUCUUUGUCAGAGAAAUUCUUGCUAGAGAGAGAGACUCCCCACCCACAGCCUGUGAAAGGAAAAACUCCUAAAGUUUGAAUAUUUGAGGGCGGAUGACAAGAGCAGCCAGUCUGCUAGUGCAACACUUGCUUUACAGAAUAUUUCAAAAGACACGUGCUUGUGUUUCAAUUGCACUCAAGUUCACGAACAAUAUUAUUCUCGUAGGAUAAAUACAGGAGUGGAGGAAAAGACUGCACUACCCUAACUCCCCAAGGUGGAGGGAAAACAAGGGGUUGCCCUGCCCACGGGCCUUGCAGAUGAGAACUGCCACGCCCCAAGGCACAAGGCACAUGGAGGGAUCCUUAAUACCUUGAGCUUUUCCUUUGAAAAAAGUACUCCUUUUAAACCAGAUUCCUCUUACACAGAAGACCCUGAAAAUGGAUCCAAGGGGAGAAUCUUUCCAGUAUUAUGUCCUAAGGAUCGUAGCUACUAUUGAAGUAUUUGAAAUUAUAGUUUUUUCCCCAAGUUUUGAAUUAGUGGGUUUCAGAUUAAUGGGCUUUUACUGUCAUUCCAAGCAGUGUGAUUACAGCACUUUUUAAAUUAACUAAUUAUACUGAUUAGUAUUAGCAGACGUCAGUGGGGAGGAUGUGCUUGUUUCUGAAUUGGCAAAGUUCCGAAACGGAGUUUCAUGCCUUAGCAAGGUGCACGAAGCCCAGCAGCCUCAGCCUUGUGCUAGAGAGACAGAUCCUCUCUCCUUCACCUUGCUCUCACUUGGACAAAGCAAUCUAGAGGCAGUGUUGAUGUUUUCUUUCUCCUGGGAUGCCUUCUGGGUGUCAGAUCAACUCUGCCUGGGGACUGGGAGUCUCCACCCACUGGGAGUGGGGAAGCAGCUGGCUCCAACUGCUCAACAAAAAAGACACUUUCCUGUCCCAAAUUCCUCAUAUUUGGGUACCAAAAAGACAUUGUCCAGCACAACAGGCAGACUCCCAUUUUCUAAGCACCCUAAGGAAUUCACACUAAUGGCAGUGGAUUGGCAAGUAGAAGUGGGGCCCUCGGCCUCCCGGUGGGGUGGGACUCCUCAGCCAGGGCUCGAGGCAGCCGUGUUGGGCACCCCGCUCUUACUCUUGUGCUUUCACUUGGGAAGCCCUAGGUGGUGGCCGUGGGGAAGGGACAGGAUUGUGACUCUGGUUUUUAAAAAGUCUUAAAAAUUUUUGGUUGAAAACAAGUGACAGUUCUAUUUCAGUGAAUUUUUUAAAGACUUUUCUUCUUUUUAAUUGAAAAAAUACCUAACUAGCCCACCACUCCCAAGUCAAUAGUCUCAGAUCUUUCUGUGAAAGAAAGGCAAGAAAGGGGGAGAGAGAGAGAGAGAGAGAGAGAGAGAGAGAGAGAGAGAGUCCAGGAGUGGUCAGAGUUCCCUCAGCUACUGAGGGCCGCAUAACAGGAGUGAGGAGGAGGGAGCAUCGUGCCAAACAAAGGGGCAUGUUGGGUCCCCCAGGGUGACGCUGCUUCAUCUUCUUCUCAAACCUUUUGAGGGAGGACAGAAGGCAGCGACCUUGGGGGGUUUUGACAGCUAGUCUCAGCUUUCCUCACUCAGGGCCCUGUCAUGAGGCUGCCCAGCCCAGGAGGCAACAUUUCUCCCCUCAGACUGGAUCCUCCUGGUAUAAAUAUAGCCGCACACUGGCUAUUGUUUCAGAGAAGCAAUGAGAAAAGGCGACGUGCACACAUGUGUACACAUAUACACACGUACACACACAAGUCCCAAAACAACCAAAAUGUGGCAACUGUAGUGUUAGCAUCAUAUCAAAUCAACAUUCAUACAAAGACAGCUUGAAAAGCUCUGUACAGGGCAUUCAUAAAAGCCAAGUGUGCACGGUUUGGAGCUCUGCACAGUCCUCCAGGAAGAGCUCCUCAGAGUGCCAGAGCCUAGGCCGCAGGCCACAAGGAGCAGCCUUAGGCUCUCCCUGCAGCCAGCCCUCGGGCCAAGGGAAGCACGCCGCCCUGGGGCCAGUCCCCGGGCUCCACUUCCUAGGCUCUCCCAGGGCCCAGCCUCAGGCCACUGGGCAGAUGCCUAAGGUGCUGGCCUUCCUGGCACACUCCCUCUGGCUCUGGUCAGGGGCAGGAGGAGAGGCCUUUGCUCAGGUCCUGCAGGUCACACUUAGGUCCCUGCUUGAGAAAAUACUGGGAGAACUGGGGCUGGCCCCAAGCUUCUGGCUUUCCUUCUGAGGUCCUCCAACAUGGCCGAAUGGGAUUGGGCCCAGGCUCCAUCAUGGAAAAAACAGAGACCUUCUAGACCAAAAAUCCCCUCCUGAGGAAGGGCAGAAGUGCAGUGCCAGAGGCCCAGGACUGGGCAAAAAGAAGGAAGGAAAGGUGGAAUGCCACCUGGUCGGCAUCUCUGGCAUCACAGAACUCAGGAAGGGCUGGAGGGC
rnacentral:lncRNA from 1 species